rnacentral:lncRNA from 10 species
CCGAGUAGCUGAGAUUACAUGCAUGUACCACCAUGCCUGGCUAAUUUUUGUAUUUUUAGUAAAGACGGGGUUCCACCAUUUUGGCAAGGCUUGUCUUGAACUCCUGACCUCAGGUGAUCUGCCCACCUUGGCCUCCCAAAAUGCUGGGAUUAGAUUACAGGCAUGAGCCACCAUGCCUGGUCAAUAUAUUUUUAAAAGCUCAAAAUGAAUCAAGGAUCUAAAUUUAAGACUAAACCAAAGCACUCUUAAAAGGAAACAUUGGGUAAAUCUUCAUGACCUUGGAUUUGGCAAUGAAUUCUUUGAUAGGACAAUGACAGCAUGAGCAAUGACAAUGAACAUUUCUUGAUAAUGUCCUUUGUGCAUUGAAGGACAUUAUCAAGAAAGUGAAAAGACAACCUACAGAAUGGGAAAAAUUAUUUGCAAAUAAUAUAUCUGAUAAGAGAUUAAGAUUUAGAAUACAUAAAGAACUCCUGAAACUCAACAGCAAACAGAUUAACAACCUGAUUUAAAACUGGGCAAGCAGUUGAAGGGAGACAGGAGAAAAUAAAUAAAUAAAAUAAAAUGGAAAAGGGAUUUGAAUAGAUACUUCUCCAAAGAAGAUAUACAAAUGGCCAAUAAGGAUACAAAAAGAUGGUGAACAUCAUUACUCAUUUGACAAAUGCAAAUCGAAGCCAUGAGAUACUGCUACACACCUAUUAGAAUGACUAUAUAUAUAUUUUUUUUUAAAAAGGAAAAUACUGUCCUGGGUACGAUGGCUCACACCUGUAAUCCCAGCACUUUGGGAGGUCAAAGCAGGUGGAUCAUUUGAAGUCAAGAGUUCAAGACCAGCCUGGCCAACAUGGUGAAACCCCAUCUCUUCCAAAGAUACAAAAACUAGCCAGGCGUGGUGGCACACAUCUGUAAUCCCAGCUACUCAGGGUGCUGAGGUAGAAGAAUUGCUUGAACUUGGGAGGCAGAGGUUGCAGUGAGCUGAGAUUGUGCCAUUACACUCCAGCCUGGGCAACAGAGCAAGAGUGUCUCAAAAAAACAAAAAAAAAAAACCCAAAAAACAAAAAAAGGAAAAAUACCAAGUGUUGGCAAGUAUGUAGAAAAAUUGGAACAUUCAUACAUUUCUGGUGAGACUGUAAAAUGGCGCAGCCACUAUGGAAAACAGUAUGGUGGUUCCUUAAAAAGCUAAGCAUAGAAUUGCCAUAUGACCCAGCAGUUCCAUUCUUAUGUAUAUAUCCAAAAAAAUUCAAAGCAGAGACUCAGAUACUUGUAUGCCAGUGUAUUGCACUAUUAUUCACAAUAGCCAAAGGGUGAAAACAACCAAAGUAUCUAUCAACAGAUGAAUGAAUAAACUAAAUGUGGUACAUAUAUACAAUGGAAUAUUAUUCAGGGAUAUUAUUAAAAAGGAAUAAAAUUCUUAUACAUGUUAAAAUAGAGAUGAACCUUGAAAUCAUUUUGUUGUGUGAAAUAAGCCAUAUACAAAAGGACAAAUAUUGCAUGAUUCCGCUUAUAUAAAAUAGCUAGAAUAGGCAAAUCCAUAGAGACAGAAAGUAGAAUGAUGGUUGCCAGGGCCUGAAAGGAGAGGAAUGGAGAGUUAUUGCUUAAUUCUUACAGAGUUUCUGUUUGGGGCGAUAAAAAUGUUUUGAACAUAGGUAGUGAUGAUGGUUCUGCAAUAUUAUGAAUAUAAUUAAUGCCAUUGCAUUGUGCACUAAAAUGGUUAAAAUGGCAAAUUUUAUGAAAAAUUUUAAAACGUUGGCAGGGAACUGGGAACUAUAAAAAUGAUGUAGCAGAUUUUAAAAACAACCAAAUACAAAUUUUAGAUCUAAUUUUAAAACCUAAAAUCAAAAACCUAACCAGUUAAACAACAUAUUAGAUUCCGUUUAAAAGAUAAUUUUGACCUUAAAGAUAGAAGACACUGUUCAUAAUGCUCCUGAGAGAGACAGAAUAUGGAAAAUACAGAAGAGAGGUUAAGAAACAAGGAAGAUUGCUGGGUGCAGUGGCUCACGCCUGUAAUACCAACACUUCAGGAGGCCAUGGCGGGUGAAUCACUUGAAGCUAGGAGUUCGAAACCAGCCUGGCCAACAUGGCAAAACCCUGUUUCUACUAAAAAUACAAAACAGUGGCACACACCUGUAAUCCCAGUUACUCAGGAAGCUGAGGCAUGAGAAUCACCUGAACCCAGGAGGUGCAGGUUGCAGUGAAUCAAGAUCAUGCCACUGCACUCCAGGCUGGGUGACAGAGUGAGACUCUGUCAAAAAAGAGAGAGAGAGAGAAAGAAAGAGAGAAAUAGAGGAAAGAAAGAAGAAAGAAAAGAAAGAAAGGAAGAAAAAAAGGAAAGAAAGAAAGAAAGAAAGAAAGAAAGAAAGAAAGAAAGAAAGAAAGAAAGAGAAAGAAAGAAAGAAAAAGAAAGAAAGAGGAAGGACAUCAGAACAAGGUCUUUUCUUUUUUUAAGUUAGCACAGACAAAAGAGAGAAAGAACUGAGGCAAAAUUUUGAAGUGAUGAUAGCUGAGAACUUUUCAGAAUUAAUGAAAGACAUGAGUCUAUUGAUUCAAGAAGUCAAACAUCCUGAACAGGAGAAAUAAAAAGAAAUCCAUGUCUAAACACAUCAUAUAAAAUUGCAGAAAACCAAUGACAGGAAAAAGUCUUUAAACAGUCCAAAAUAAAAACAUGAAUUAACUUCAAAAGAGCAACUGUUAGACUGUUGUUGUCUUCUCUGCAGAGAUAAUCAAGCCAGAAGAGUACUAUGUUAUCAAAAAUCUGAAAGAAAUUAACUGCCAAACUAGGAUUCUAAACCCAGGGAAAAUAUUCUUUCUAGAAUGAAAGUCAAAUAAAGACAUUUUAAGAACACAAAACUAUCAGAGAUGACUACAAAUAAAUUUGCACAAAGAAAAUGCUAGCAUGGGUGCAAAGGCUCAUGCCUGUAAUCCUAGAACUUUGGGAAGCCAAGGUGGGAGGAUGACUUGAGCCUAGGAAUUCAAGACCAGCCUGGGCAAUAUAGGGAGACCCCAUUUCUACAAAAAAUUUAAAAAUUAGCUGGGCAUGGUGGUGCACACCUAUAGUCCCAGCUGCUCAGGAGGCUGAGGUGGGAGGAUUGCUUGAGUCUGGGAGACAGCAGUUAAAGUGAACCAAGAUCAUGCCACUGCACUCCAGCCUAGGUGACAGAGUAAGAUGCUGUCUCAAAAAAAAAAAAAAACAAAAAAAACAGAAAUACUAAAGACUGUAUUUUAGGGGGAAGAAAAAGAAAAAGAAUAUCAGAUGGAAAGUCAGAUAUUCAGAAAGGAAUAAAGAUCACAGAAGCUGGUCAAAACAAAGUAAAUGUUGACUAUAUAAAACCACAACAGGCCGGGCGCAGUGGCUCAUGCCUGUAAUCCCAGCACUUUGG